CCGGGCGUAGCUCAGGGGUAGAGCGAUUGACUGUAGACAUCAAUUGGUCCCGUGUUCGAUUCACGGUGCCCGGA
rnacentral:tRNA from 1 species